UCUGAGGACCUCCGAGACUUUGAUUGCGAA
rnacentral:piRNA from 1 species